CAUUCUCCACUCCAUUGCAAACCCGAACAGUACUGUCGCGAUUUGAAUAUCGUGCUGCUUUUCAAAUUCAAGUGAAAGGGCAGCUACUCUUCGGAUUGUGGUCGCUUUUACACUGCCUGUUAGUGUACCAUGGCUUCUAAGCCCCAUCCUCCUUUGAUGAAGAAACACAGUCAGUCAGACCUGGUGAGCCGGCUGAAGACCAGGAAAAUACUUGGGGUUGGAGGAGAGGAUGACGAUGGAGAGGUGCAUAGGUCAAAGCUUCCCAGGCUACCACCGCAGAAGGAAUGCUGUGAGACAAAAUCAGCUUUCCCAAAGGCAAAGAAGGGGGAAUAUGCUGUGAAGACAGACCCAAGAUGCUGUAAAUCAUAGUUAGUUAUUAAUUUAAAAUCUGCAUCAAUUGAGCAUUUCAGGCACACAAACAUUUCCAAAUUGUCACGCCCUGGUUGAAGUAUUUUGUGUUUAUUUUCAUUUAUUUGGUCAGGCCAGGGUGUGGCAUGGGUUUUUGUAUGUGGUGUGUUGGGAUUGUAGCUUAGUGGGGUGUUCUAUUGAAGUCUAUGGCUGUCUGAAGUGGUUCUCAAUCAGAGGCAGGUGUUUAUCGUUGUCUCUGAUUGGGAACCAUAUUUAGGCAGCCAUAUUCUUUGGGUGUGUUGUGGGUGACUGUCCUUAGUAUCAUGAUGUCCUUGUAACUGUCUAGUGUUAGUUUGCACCAGUUUAGGCUGUUUCGGUUUUUACAUUACGUUUAUUGUUUUUGUAUUGAUUCGUGUUUACUUUGUUUUUAUUAAACAUGAAUCUCAA